GUGGUGGCAUUCGCGUCUGCGAGCUCCGGAGUGACUUUCCCUUCCUGUGAAGGCAAUCCGGCCCUUUCCGGUGGAGGACCCUUCCCCCUGGGUUGAUCUUGAGGAACUUAAGAGACGGUGUUUUGACUCGACUCCUUUCCCCUUUUUCCUCCCGGUAUCAAUAGUUUUCUACAGGUUCGGGACUACACUGUUUAAUAUAUAACCCCAACCCUUGGUACCGCACUGACCUUCAGUAUUUGGUUGCUGAAAUCUUCAAUGAUGAAAGGGGCAGAACUUGCUGAAACUCCAACCUCUGGAAAUUACUGGAACCCUGCAUUCUAGAACUUGCUGGAAACCCACCCUCUGGAAUUGGCCUGCUAGAGUGCCUGAGAAGGAUGUUCAUAGGGAAAUGUUUCAGCAGAGGAACUCUACUACAAAAACCACAAGAGGGAGGGUGCCAGGGGAAGUGGCCUGGUGCUAUUGAAACUGCAACACAGAAGCCAGCCACUGGAGAGAGCUGCACAAGCUGCAGGAACACCCUACCCAGUAAGCCGGCCAGAAGGAGGGAGCAAAACCUUUUCUCUCUGCAACAUCUUUCCAGUUUCCUCUACUGGAAAAGCUUCAUUGCCAGCUGACAAAAGGAAAAAUACUUAAAUGGAUCAGAUCCAUUUUCACAGAGCAGUCAAUAAUGGUGAAUUUGGAGAUGAUAAGCAACAAAUUGAUGAACUGGCACAACUUCCCUGCUACUUUCUUGAUUGUAAUGCCUAGAUAGGGAAUAGGAAAGUUAUUGAAAUGUAUGUGUUCCCAUGAAAUGUGUUUAUUUGUUGUUCAAGAUCAAUACUAAUAAAUGGGGACUAAUGUUCUGAAGUA
rnacentral:lncRNA from 1 species